rnacentral:rRNA from 1 species
AAAAGCCCGCACGCCGAAAGCCCAAGGUUUCCUUGCGCAACGUUAAUCGACGCAGGGUUAGUCGGUCCCUAAGGCGAGGGCGAAAGCCGUAGUCGAUGGGAAGCAGGUUAAUAUUCCUGCACCUCGCGUGAGUGCGAUGGAGGGACGGAGAAGGUUAGGUGUACCGGGCGUUGGUUGUCCCGGGGAAAGGCGGUAGGUUUGGAUCUUUGGCAAAUCCGGGAUCCUUUAAGACCGAGCACCGAGACGAGCCUUUAUGGCGAAGUCACUGAUACCACGCUUCCAGGAAAAGCUCCUAAGCUUCAG